AACGUCGUGAGACAGUUCGGUCCCUAUCCGUCGUGGGCGUAGGAAAUUUGAGAGGAGCUGUCCUUAGUACGAGAGGACCGGGAUGGACAUACCUCUGGUGUACCAGUUGUCGUGCCAACGGCAUAGCUGGGUAGCUAUGUAUGGACGGGAUAAGUGCUGAAAGCAUCUAAGCAUGAAGCCCCCCUCAAGAUGAGAUUUCCCAACUUCGGUUAUAAGAUCCCUCAAAGAUGAUGAGGUUAAUAGGUUCGARGUGGAAGCGUAGCGAUACGUGGAGCUGACGAAUACUAAUCGAUCGAAGACUUAAUCAAUUU
rnacentral:rRNA from 1 species